rnacentral:rRNA from 1 species
UACGUAGGGAGCAAGCGUUGUCCGGAAUCAUUGGGCGUAAAGCGCGCGUAGGUGGCCCCAUAAGUCCGCUGUGAAAGUCAAAGGCUCAACCUUUGAAAGCCGGUGGAUACUGUGGGACUAGAGUACGGAAGAGGCGAGUGGAAUUCCUGGUGUAGCGGUGGAAUGCGCAGAUAUCAGGAGGAACACCGGUGGCGAAGGCGGGUCUCUGGGCAGUAACUGACGCUGAGGAGCGAAAGCGUGGGGAGCGAACAGG